rnacentral:rRNA from 1 species
GACGAACGCUGGCGGCGUGCUUAACACAUGCAAGUCGAACGAAGAGCGAUGGAAGCUUGCUUCUAUCAAUCUUAGUGGCGCACGGGUGAGUAACGCGUAAUCAACCUGCCCUUCAGAGGGGGACCACAGUUGGAAACGACUGCUAAUACCGCAUACGAUCUAACCUCGGCAUCGAGGAAAGAUGGACGGUGGCCUCUAUGUAUAAGCUAUCACUGAAGGAGGAGUAUGCGGCUGAUUAGCUAGUUGGUGGGGUAACGGCCCACCAAUGCGAUGAACAGUAGCCCGACUGGGAGGAGGAACGGCCCACAUGGGACUGAGAAAACGCCCAGACUUCUACGGGAGGCAGCAGUGGGGAAUCCUCCGCAAUGGACGGAAGUCUUACGGAGCAACGCCGCGUGAGUGAUGACGGCCUUCGGGUUGUAAAGCUCUGUUAAUCGGGAAGAAAGGCCUUCGUGCGAAUAGUGAGAAGGAUUGACGGUACCGGAAUAGAAAGCCACGGCUAACUACGUG